GGAUGAAGUCGUCGUGGCCUAAAGGAUAAGACGUUCGGUGCAUUCGUUUUGAGGGAUGCACCAGUGUUCGAAUCUCAGGCGACUGCCAAUUUUUCUAAUGAAAUAUGCACUCAAUAAAUGUUCACGA
rnacentral:scRNA from 1 species